rnacentral:lncRNA from 1 species
GUGCCGAGAUGGGGAGGGAAUAGGGAGAGGAUGGGGCGAAAAUUGGGGAGAAAAAGAGAGAAGGAAGUGUGAAAAUUGGGGAAAAUUGGGGAGAGAAACGAGGAGAAAAUGUGGGAGAAAUUGAGAGAAAAUUGGGGAGAAAACGUGAGGAAAGUGGAGAGUGGGGGAAAAUUUGGGGAAAAAAUUGGGGAAAAAAAGAGAGAAGAAACUGCGAAAAUUGGGGUAAAAAUGAGGAAAAUCGGGGAGAAAAUGGAGGAAAAUCAGAGGGAAAAUGUGAAAGAAAAUAGAGGAGAAAAUGGGGGAGAAAAAUUGGGGAAAAAUGGAGGAGAAAUGUGGGAAAAAAUGGGGAAGAAAUUGGAGAAAAAAUGGGGAGAAAAAAUCAGGAAAAAUGGGGGAAAGGUGGAGGAAAAAAUCAGGAAAAAUGGGGGAAAGGUGGAAGAAAAAUUGUAGGAAAAUGAGGGAAAGGUGGGGAGAAAAUGGGGGAAAAGUUGUAGGAAAAUAAGGGGAAAUAUGGGGGAAAAAAUGGGGGAAAAAUAAUAAAAAAUGGGGAGCAAAUGGAGGAAAAUUAGAG